rnacentral:rRNA from 1 species
GAUGAACGCUAGCGGCAGGCUUAAUACAUGCAAGUCGAGGGACAGCACAGGUAGCAAUACUGGGUGGUAACCGGCAAACGGGUGCGGAACACGUACACAACCUUCCUUUAAGUGGGGGAUAGCCCAGAGAAAUUUGGAUUAAUACCCCGUAAUAUAGUUGAAUGGCAUCAUUUGAUUAUUAUAGCUACGGCGCUUAAUGAUGGGUGUGCGGCUAUUAGAUAGUUGGCGGGGUAACGGCCCACCAAGUCUACGAUCAGUAGCUGAUGUGAGAGCAUGAUCAGCCACACGGGAACUGAGACACGGGCCCGACUCCUACGGGAGGCAGCAGUAAGGAAUAUUGGUCAAUGGACGCAAGUCUGAACCAGCCAUGCCGCGUGAAGGAUUAAGGUCCUCUGGAUUGUAAACUUCUUUUAUUUGGGACGAAAAAGGGCCUUUCUAGGUCAACUGACGGUACCAGAUGAAUAAGCACCGGCUAACUCCGUGCCAGCAGCCGCAGUAAUAC